CAAGGUGUAGAAAUGAGAAGUCAAAGGCAAUCUUGCUCCAGUCCAGUCUCUUGACAUAUUAGCACUGGCAGACACAUGCUGAAAGAUGCUCUUUUGGCAUUUUUAUAUCUGCAUACUCAUGUACAGCUCGCCAGACUUGUACUUUCCUACACAAUCAAGUACAGGUCAUGACAAACUUGACCAAUUGAAUUGUUUGAAUUUGAUAUUUCUUCACUAAUAAGUAUUCAUAUUUAUAUAAAACUUAGGAUCUAUAACCAGUGCUGUAACUAGGCAGGUGCAACAGGUGCACCCACACGGCCCACUUGGAAGAGGGGCCCAAAAUGCAUGUAUUUGUUUUAUUACUUUCCCAAACCUAAUUAAUUAAGGGGCCUAAAUGCAAAUUCCUGCACAGGAAUGGCUAGUUACGGCACUGUCUAUAACACUUGAGUCAAUUUGAAUCAAAUUCCUUUAUACAAUGCUUAUUUGUCAGUACAAAGAUGAUUAUACUGUUAACAGUACAGUUGAUACAUGGGAAAUAUCAAAACUUUAGUGUUUUAAAAAUUGUAUCAAUUUAUCAUGGAUAUGUGAUAUUGUAUAACAUAUAAAGUAAAAAUAUCUUGAUUAUAUCUGUUGACGUUGCCAGUCAAAAUUAUUUUUAUUGGUUUAAUGUAUAUAAAUAAGCAUCCUUAGUGUGAUACUUUGUCCCUUGUUAUUGGCUUUAGCAUAAUGUGAUAUGAAGGAAAAGCAGAGUAUCAUAGCAGUAAAGAGAAGCAUCAUGCUUUAUACCUGUAUCUAGUUAUUAUACACGGAGAAAAACUAAUGUAUUCGAUAUAUAUUUCAAUUCAUGAAUCGAAUUUCUAUAGUACAAGUAGAACUCUUACAUACAGAUGAAAGGCCCCUUUGAGUUUAAAUUGGUCUUCAAUCCGUGGUUCCAAAAUAAGGUUACAUCAUGAUCUUCGUGAGUUUAAAACUUUUGAACGUAUAGAAACUAGUAUAUAUCUGAAAUUAGACGAGACAUACACCUUAAGGCAUUUAAAAUUACUUUAUAUGUAAAUAUAAGAAUAUAUUGGUGUUUAGUUUCAGCAGAGGUAAGGUGUAGAGUCUACGCUUACACCUACACUAAACGACGUAACCUGUCAUUUAGCGUAGGCCAGAAACAACGGAAGUUCAAGUUCAGAAUAAAUACGGAAAAGCAGGUAGGGUCGUUGACUCUGGUAUGACGACCUUAGGUGCUGCGAAACGCUCAUCAUGAAUGUCUCCCGCUUUUUGAUCGCUCUUGUUUUGGUCGUACCGCAUUUUUGUUUAGACAAUCGCAACCAAGAAAUUGAUAAGAAUAAUGAUAAGGCCACUAGAGAAUCAAGAUUGAGGAGGGCCAUCAUAAAAACGUCGUCUCCUGCUUUGUUACUGCUCUCGUUAUCCGUAGGAGCAAUAGCAACGUUUUACUUAUUAGAAUCUCCCCUCUCUCCGUUACCUCUUCUUCCCUUGCCCUAUCCACCGGUUGGCACUUAUCCACCCAAAGAAACGGUGGCUGCCGGAAGAAAUUUUGCCAAGAAUCAAUGGAUGCUGUUUACUAAACAUUGACAUUUGAUUAAAUAUCCGGGUAAAAUGUGAUAUUGAGAGGAUUCCGAAAGAAAAUACGAGAUUUAUAAUAACUAAAAUGUCGAAUUUUAUGUAAUUUAUUCUUCUUAAUAAAGUAAUUUAAUUUAUAAUUGCUGACUUUUAUAAUUUAUAUUUUUAAAUAUAAUAAUUUUUAUUUAAAUGAAAUAUAAGGUGGAAACUUAUGUGAAUGUAAUCUGCUAUGAGAAGUUUUUAGCAUUUACCAACGAGUGGGGUCUAACGAUGGCCGAGAGGAUAAAACCACCGAAAACUUGUCACGGGUUCGUUCCUCAUUAACCCGUGGAAUUUUCCGGGAUUUCCUUGCGUGUACACUUACGUGGGGACAAAUUUUCAGUAGAAAAUCUUCCUAUGAGGUACAGGUACAGUACCUCCUUGCCUGACCGCUCGCGUGUUGCGUUACCUCAUCCCAUCAAGCCACUCCGGGUGUGUGUCACUCUUCAGAGUCCUCGGCAAUUUCGCAAUUUUUCAAAGUAUUAAAGGGGAGUAUCAAAUAACAGAUUAGGAAUGAUUAUUUAAAAUGCGACUGAGUACAUUCCUUCACUUAAUUAAAUAUGAAUAUCUAAAGCAGAUAUUUGUAUUAAGUAACGUAUAAGAACAGUAUAGUAAGCUCAUCAUGAAAUAUAGAAUGUUAAAUUUUGUAUAAAUAGGAUGCCAAAAAUAAUUAGAGACUUCAGCAUUUCGUGGCUUCCCCUUUCUGGUCCUCUUCUAUUUUUGAGUUUAAUU